rnacentral:rRNA from 1 species
UACGGAGGGGGCAAGCGUUGUUCGGAAUUACUUGGCGUAAAGGGCUCGUAGGCGGCCAACUAAGUCAGACGUGAAAUCCCUCGGCUUAACCGGGGAACUGCAUCUGAUACUGGAUGGCUUGAGAUUGGGAGAGGGAUGCGGAAUUCCAGGUGUAGCGGUGAAAUGCGUAGAUAUCUGGAGGAACACCGGUGGCGAAGGCGGCAGCCUGGACCAACACUGACGCUGAGGAGCGAAAGCCAGGGGAGCAAACGGG